rnacentral:lncRNA from 1 species
CGGCCCCGCCGCCACACACAUACCCGGGCCUCGGGAGCGCUGCAGGGACAGCGGGGGACACCCGGGUGGUUUGCCAGGGCAAUAAAUAAUCCUCACGACCAAAUACUUACACAUUUCUCGUUUCUUCCUGACACCUUCUGUGAUCAGCAUUCAACUAAGCACCAGCUCAUAAGUUGCCUCCUUGAAUGAGCAAACCCAUCUUUCAAACCCUCAGGACCUCCAGAUAUCUGCUCUGGAUCAGUUUGCAAAAGGCAACCCCAGCAACAUGACUCCGAGCAGAGCAACCAUUCGUCAAGACUUACAGCUUUGAGCUGGCUGCUUGUUGGGAAAGUUUCUGUGACGCAGAGAGAGUCAGACCUCAACUGCAACUCAAGCACAGAGGCAAGAUGUUCCACUGAAUCAGAGAAUAAGGAAAUAGAAAUGCUUGUCUUAAAGGAUAAACGCUUUCGUGCUUGCCCUUAG